rnacentral:rRNA from 1 species
AUUGAACGCUGGCGGCGUGCCUAACACAUGCAAGUCGAGCGGUAACAGGUGUAGCAAUACGUGCUGACGAGCGGCGGACGGGUGAGUAACGCUUGGGAAUCUGCCUAUUAGUGGGGGACAACCCGGGAAACGUACGGGCGUAAUACCGCAUACGCUCUACGGAGGAAAGCCGGGGACCGGCAAGGCCUGGCGCUAAUAGAUGAGCCCAAGUCGGAUUAGCUAGUUGGUAGGGUAAUGGCCACCAAGGCGACGAUCCGUAACUGGUCUGAGAGGACGACCAGUCACACCGGAACUGAGACACGGU